GUCCUAGCCGUAAACGGUGCAUGCUUGCUGUAAAAGGAAUCGACCCCUUUUGUGGCGGAGCCAACGCGUUAAGCAUGCCGCCUGGGAAGUACGGUCGCAAGAUUAAAACUCAAAGAAAUUGACGGGGGCCUGCACAAGCGGUGGAGUAUGUGGCUCAAUUCGAUGCAACGCGAAGAACCUUACCUGGCCUUGACAUGUACGUAGUAGAAGGGUGAAAGCCUGACGAGAUAGCAAUAUCAGCGUACACAGGUGCUGCAUGGCUGUCGU
rnacentral:rRNA from 1 species